UCUCCUGGAAACGGGUGGUAAUGCCGGAUGCUCCGACUCCUCGCAUGGGGUGUCGGGAAAGAUUUCAUCGGUAUGGGAUGGGGUCGCGUCCUAUCAGGUAGUCGGCGGGGUAACGGCCCACCGAGCCUACGACGGGUAGCCGGCCUGAGAGGGCGACCGGCCACAUUGGGACUGAGAUACGGCCCAGACUCCUACGGGAGGCAGCAGUGGGGAAUAUUGCACAAUGGGCGCAAGCCUGAUGCAGCGACGCCGCGUGCGGGAUGACGGCCUUCGGGUUGUAAACCGCUUUUGAUCGGGAGCAAGCCUUCGGGUGAGUGUACCUUUCGAAUAAGCACCGGCUAACUACGUGCCAGCAGCCGCGGUAAUACGUAGGGUGCAAGCGUUAUCCGGAAUUAUUGGGCGUAAAGGGCUCGUAGGCGGUUCGUCGCGUCCGGUGUGAAAGUCCAUCGCUUAACGGUGGAUCUGCGCCGGGUACGGGCGGGCUGGAGUGCGGUAGGGGAGACUGGAAUUCCCGGUGUAACGGUGGAAUGUGUAGAUAUCGGAAAGAACACCAGC
rnacentral:rRNA from 1 species